rnacentral:lncRNA from 1 species
CCAAAGCAGAGCCACUGUCUAUUUUUCAAACCUGAGAAGCAAAGGGGAAGAUGACAGAAAGGCCUGGGCCGAGCAGCAUGUGGCCUGACGCUCUGUGGCCGCUCCAGGGUCACCAGGCCUGACCACCUGACCGUGUGCAGCAGGCUUUGCGACCCGUGGUUGUGUCCAACUGUAGGCAUCCAUCACCUGCGGUUUUGGCUGAAAAAGCUGCUUUGGAAGCGGGAAGAUUCGCCAGUGACUGGACUUCAGGGUACAGUCGCCCCUCCCGCCUCCCACAAACAACAUCACCAAUCUCUUAGAACGGCUACGUGGGACAUGCAUAGAAGAUUCGAGUAAAUCAAAUC